UACGUAGGUGGCAAGCGAUACUCGGAAUCACUAGGCGUAAGGCGCAGGUAGGCGGUUUGAUAAGUCUUUUGUGAAAGCUCCCGGCUUAACUGGGAGAGGUCAAGGGAAACUGUCAGGCUAGAGUUUGGUAGGGGAUACUGGAAUUCCUGGUGUAGCGGUGAAAUGCGUAGAUAUCAGGAGGAAUACCUAUGGCGAAAGCAGGUAUCUGGGCCACAACUGACGCUGAGCUGCGAAAGCUAGGGGAGCAAACAGG
rnacentral:rRNA from 1 species